ACUGCCCGCCCCUCCAGCGGGAGAGGGGGCGCCGGGGCUGGGCCGGGGAGGAGCCAGGCGGGGGGCGCUCGCGCAGAUCUUUGGCACGUUCUGAAUCUGAGUUUUACGAGUACUUGGUAUACUAAUGCUACAGCCAUGAGGACUGUUCCCUAAGAGCCCCAGUCUGGCUGGAAUACUGCAAAAGUACAAGGUUAUCCAGUGAGAACCAAUCCACAGGAGGAUGUUCUGCAGCCCCGUUACCCUGUGCUGUGCAAUAAGAGACAAGCCUGUUGAAUUACAAAAGAUGCUGAAAUUAAAUCUCCUUUGACCUCUUGGUAA